rnacentral:rRNA from 1 species
GGCCUGGUUGGACGGUCUGCCUCUUGGUAUGUACUGUCCCGGCUGGGUCUUACCUUCUGGUGAGCUGUCGUGUUGUUUAUUCAGCGCGGCAGGGAACCAGGACUUUUACUUUGAAAAAAUUAGAGUGUUUAAAGCAGGCAUUGGCUUGAAUACAUUAGCAUGGAAUAAUAAAAUAGGACUUUGGUUCUAUUUUGUUGGUUUCUAGGACCGAAGUA